ensembl:lncRNA
GGAGCUUAGCUUAGUCAGAGCCAGAGGCUUCCCCAUUCUACCUGGGGCUCUGGGGCAGCCCCCCACCAGCUUCCUGGGCAUCCCAGUUUCCCACAGUAUAAUAUGGAGGCGAAAAAAUGGGUGUUGGGCAUAGUUGCAGGCAAGUGUGCUGCCUGGCGCCUCCUGGGAGCUCAGGCGUUUUGGAGCUGGGACGGCUAGCAGCAGGGUUCCCUGCACCCUCUGACCCCUCCUCUCCCAGAACCAAAGCCUGUCCCUCGGGCUCUGACCUGGAUUCAUGGAGGGCUGUUCCUUGCUCCCUUGCGGGACACAGAGGGCCAGUUGGACCAGGAUGAAGGACAGGGCUCCUGGGAGCUGUGGGUUCCCUUCCCCCUGCAGCUCUUCAUGGGUUCCCAGAGUCAGGCCCACCCUGCCUUCAGCGCCUCUCACAGGCACCAUGUGCCUGCUGAGAGGUCAAGGCUCUCAGACCAUGUGCAGACUUUUCAUUUAUUCAUUCAAUCAGAAGCCGUGGUAAAGCUGGGGCUCCUGAACUUACAGUCACACGGUGAGAGCUGAAGUGAAGGCUGUUUGUUCCCGCACACCUGCAGCUUCCAGAGCAUCUUACUCUGCCCUCCCCCUGCUCCCCCGGAGUCCCAGUGCCUGGGACUGUGCUUGGAGCUCAGUGAACGAAAGAAUGAAUGAAUGAAGAGGGCUGACCUGUGCCAAGUGACAGGGGUGCAGCAAUGAGCAAACCACCCAGAUGCCCUGAUGUGCAAUGCACGAUUUGAAAAAGGGAAGACCACCUGCUUAGGGCUGGAGCUGUUUAUCAUCGCUCCAACUUUCACUAAAAAGGAAAAACUAUCACUUAAACAAAGCCAUUGAAAACUCAGCAUCAUAUGUGGAUUUCUUAACAUAAAUAAAUCAUACAAACCAAGAUUUAUGUUCUCCCAAUGAUGUCAUUCGCUGAAGGCUGCCUUCCCAAUCAAAUCAGCGGUUAGUGACUCUCCUUUUGUGUGUGUGUGCUUUUUGCAAAAUAAGAAAAGCAGUGCUGGCAUCCUGGCUGCUCUCUUUCUCUGCUCCGCCCAGCACAUCAGAAAGGUCUCUCCCUGCAUCAGCACAACCGGUUCUAAACGGUGAGCACGGAUUCAAUGCCACAGAUGGCAUUUCAAGCCUUUGUUUUUGAAAUGCAGGUUCUAAGUUGAAAGACUGUUAAGGCUUCCUGAAGGAUUUGCUCAGACUCCAGCAGAAGCUGGGGGCUCUGGGGGUCUCUCAGAGCCUAGGAUGAGUUUCGCUGCAGGGUCAUCACGUUGAAAUGAGCGAGGACCGCGACAGGCACCCGUGAUGGGGAGAUGAGAUGUGGUCGCUCCGUAUAGUGGAGAAGUGUCAGUCACAGCAAGGAAUGAAGCCCUGAUAUGGACCACAGUGUGCACGAAGUUGGUGAAUGAAGUCAGUCAGAGCAGGUCACGUACCAUUCCAUUCUACCUUUGUAGAAUGCCCCUACCACGUCCAGGACGGGCAAAUCCACAGAGACAGAAAAGAAACAAGUGGUUGCCAGGGUAGGGGAGAGGACGUGGCAGGUGACUGCUUCCUUGGCACAGGGUUUCCUCCUGGGAAGAUGAAAAUGUUCUGGAAACAGACGCCCACUUUGUUUAUUUACUAAAGUCUUCCUUGUUUUUUUGAUUUUAUUGGCUGCACCAGGUCUUAGCUGCAGCACAUAGGAUCUUCAUUGCAGUGUGCAGGAUCUUUACUUGCAGCAUGCAAAGUCUUCGUUGCAGCAUGCAGGAUCUAGGGGUCAAAUCCGGGUCCUCUGUGUUGGGAGAGCAGAGUCUUAGCUACUGGACCGCCAGGGACAUCCCAGACAGCCCACUUAAAAAUGGAGACUGUUGUGCUAUGUUAAUUGUAUCUCAAUAAAUCUGUUAUUUAAAAAUCACUACUGAGAACAUAUGUUUAAAAAGCUUUAUGUUCAUUUUAAAGUUUUUUCCAUUUUGAAAUGAUCACACAGAUGGGUGAGUGUGUAAGACUGCAUGUGCACGCCUGGAGUGUAUGACAUGAGCACUGGCCCCAGCUCCUGGGUGAAGCAUGAGCUUGUGAUAAUUUUUCUUCAAAGUUCUCUGUAUAGCCCCUUCCCCUAACUGCAUCCCCUUCAACCAGACCAGAGGUACCCAACCCACAGGUAUUUGUGUUAACCAUCUCCUUGACUUGUUUUCCAG